rnacentral:lncRNA from 1 species
CCAGGGAUCGAGCCUGUGUCCUCAUGGAUACUAGUCUGGUUCGUUUCCGCAGAGCCACGAGAACUCCCAAAUUUACAACCUUUUAAUUGCCGAGAUUGGGAAUAGGAAAAGCGUCAUUUUUUUUUUUUUAUUUUCCCACUGUACAGCAAGGGGAUCAAGUUAUCCUUACAUGUAUACAUUACAAUUACAGUUUUUCCCCCACCAUUUCUUCUGUUGCAACAUGAGUAUCUAGACAAAGUUCUCAAUGCUACUCAGCAGGAUCUCCUUGUACAUCUAUUCUAAGUUGUGUCUGAUAAGCCCAGGCUCCUGAUCCCUUCCACUCCCUCCCCCUCCUAUCAGGUAGCCACAAGUCUUUUCUCCAAGUCCAUGAUUUUCUUUUCUGAGGAGGUGUUCAUUUGUGCUGGAUAUUAGAUUCCAGUUAUAAGUGAUAUCAUAUGGUAUUUGUCUUUGUCUUUCUGGCUCAUUUCACUCAGUGUGAGAUUCUCUAGUUCCAUCCAUGUUGCUGCAAAUGGCCUUAUGUCAUCCUUUUUGAUGGCUGAGUAGUAUUCCAUUGUGUAUAUAUACCACCUCUUCCAAAUCCAAUCCUCUGUCGAUGGACAUUUGGAUUGUUUCCAUGUCCUGGCUAUUGUGAAUAGUGCUGCAAUGAACAUGCGGGUGCAUGUGUCUCUUUUAAGUAGAGUUUUGUCCGGAUAGAUGCCCAAGAGUGGGAUUGUAGGGUCAUAUGGAAGUUGUAUGUAUAGAUUUCUAAGGUAUCUCCAAACUGUUCUCCCUAGUGGCUGUACCAGUUUACAUUCCAUGUUUAUAUAGCACUAACGCCACGUGAAUACUGAAACUUCAGGUCAGUCCCUUUUAAAACUUUCUAAGGACAAAGUGGCUUCUCUCUACCCUUUUUUCUUUUCUUUGAGGAACAGACUUAGAAAACACAUAGCUUACCCAUCUCAGAUGAAGUUACUCUCCAGUAAUUUCCAAUCAUUUGAGUUUUUGGUUUUGUGUAAUUUAAAACUUUUGGAUUUUUAUUUUAUUUUAUUUUUAUUUAUUUAUUUAUUUUUGUCUUUUUUGCCAUUUCUUGGGCUGCUCCCGUGGCACAUGGAUGUUUGCAGGCUAGGGGUCGAAUUGGAACUGUAGCCACUGGCCUACACCACAGCCACAGCAACGUGGGAUCCGAGCCAUGUCUUCGACUUACACCACAGCUCACGGCAACACCACAUCCUUAACCCACUGAGCAAGGCCAGGGAUCGAACCCGCAACCUCAUGGUUCCUAAUCAGAUUCGUUAACCACUUAGCCAGGAUGGGAACUCCCAAACUUUUGGAUUUUUAAAUCGAGCACAAAAAAGUAAACAUUGACAGAGCAAACGUUUAUCACAAGGAGGAUAUCUAUACAAUUCUCUGCCAGCAGUUCCCUUAUGCUGAAGUUCCCUUAUGUUCCCUGCAUUGGUAACCUCUCUUUCCUGCUCCCCACUGCAGUAACUGCUGUCCUCAUUUUUAUGGUGGAUACUUUCUUUUAAUGGCUUUAUUGACUAAGCAUUUAUCUCUAAACGCCAGUGUAAAUUUGUAAAAUUUUUGAACCUGGUAUGAAUAAAAUCUUACAGCACAAUUUUUUUACUGCGUUCUUUCAUUUGACAUUAUGUUUGUGAGGUUCUUUUAUGUUGUAUAUAGCUGUAAUGCAUUCCUUUUCACUGUAACAUUCAUGUUUUAUUGUACAAAUAUACUGUAUUUAUCUUUACUGUGAAUGGAUAUUAGGUUGCUUCCAGUCCGGAGCUGUUAAAAAUGUAAGGCUGUGAGCUUAGUUGUCCAUGUCUCUUGUGCAUGUAUGUGGGCAUUUCUGUUGGGUGUGUAUCUGGAAGUAAAAUUGCUGGUUCUUAGGUUCUGUGUCUCUUGAAGAGGUAAUGCUAUUUUACUAAAAUAGUUGUAUUUUGGAGUUCCUAUCGUGGCUCAGUGGUAACGAAUCCGACCAGGAACCAUGAGGGUGCAGGUUCGAUCCCUGGCCUCGUUCAGUGACUUAAGGGUCCAGCAUUGCUGUGAACUGUGGUGUAGGUCGUAGACGCAGCUCAGAUCCCAUGUUGCUGUGGCCGUGGUGUAAGCCAGCAGCUGUAGCUCUGAUUUGACUCCUAGCCUGGAAACUUCAUAUGCCAUGGGUAUGGCCCUAAAAAGACCAAAAAAAAAAAAAAAAGAAAAAAGAAAAAGUUGUAUUUGUAUUCUCACUAGUAGCACUUACGUUUCACCUACUCCACAUCUUUGUCAGUACUUACUGUGAGUCUUUCAUUUUCGUCAUUCUGGCGGAAGUGUGUGGAUUUCUCAUUUUAUUGGCAUUUUUCUGAGUACCAAUGAGAUUGAACGUGUUUUUACAUGUUUUUUGGCCAUUUUCUUUUGUGAAAUAUCUUUUCACGUAGCUUACCCAUUUUUCUGGGUUAUCUGUCCUUUGUGGGUGUCCUUUCUUAAAGUAUUUUGAUAUAAACCUUUUUUGUCAGAUAUACACAUAAGGUUUCUGGAGGUCUUUUGGCCCUGCCCAUGGCACAUGGAAGUUCUAGGCGAGGGAUUGAACCUGUGCCAUAGCAGCACCCCAAGCCACUGCAGUGACAACACCAGAUCCUUAACCCGCUGUGCCACAGAAGAACUCCAGGUUUGUUUUUUAAUCAGAAUUUUUAAGUAAUUAUAAAAACUAUUCAAAUCUAUAUUUCUUUUUUAACUCAUAACUGCUGUGUUUGUAUAACGCGGUCAUAAAGAAAAAUAACUCACUAAUAUAAUAAAAAUGGCUAAUAUUGGAGUUCCCGUCGUGGCGCAGUAGUUAACAAAUCCGACUAGGAACCAUGAGGUUGCGGGUUCAAUCCCUGGCCUUGCUCAGUGGGUUAAGGAUCCGGCAUUGCCAUGAGCUGUGGUGUAGGUUGCAGCGUGGCUUGGAUCCCACAUUGCUAUGGCUCUGGCAUAGGCCAGUGGCUACAGCUCCAAUUCAGUCCCUAGCCUGGGAACCUCCAUAUGCCGUGGGAGCAGCCCUAGAAA